UGAAAAUGAAAGACGAGGAAAUAUGAAUUAAUGACAAAUGAACUGAGCAUGAUGUAUAAGUCCUAAGUAAAGAUAAUUUCUUAUGUAAUGACUUGGGAUGGUAUCACAACAACUUAUCACAAAAUAUCACAUCCAAGUUAUCAAUUUAUCCCUAAAUGUAGAAGCAUACAUCCAACUCGUAUCCUCAAGAAAACUCUGGAAAACAUCCUUGAAAAGAAAUGCAAAUUUGGCCAGGAGGAUGAGGAAGAUGAUGAUGAAAAUCUACUGAAAUGGCUAGAAAUGAAAAUUAAAUUAUUAAUUAAAACAGCAAAAGAUGGGAAAUUUCAUAAUAUAAAAUUUAUGUAUUAUAUGUAAUAAACGUUGUGGAAAAUUUGCUAGUAGUGCUGUUAUUGAGUGUAGAUAUUAUAUAUUAGAAAUU
rnacentral:lncRNA from 1 species